UACGUAGGGCGCAAGCGUUGUCCGGAAUUAUUGGGCGUAAAGAGCUCGUAGGCGGCUAGUCACGUCGGGUGUGAAAGACCGGGGCUUAACCCCGGUUCUGCAUUCGAUACGGGCUGGCUAGAGUGUGGUAGGGGAGAUCGGAAUUCCUGGUGUAGCGGUGAAAUGCGUAGAUAUCAGGAGGAAUACCGGUGGCGAAAGCGACUCUCUGGAACGGUACUGACGCUGAGACGCGAAAGCGUGGGGAGCGAACAGG
rnacentral:rRNA from 1 species